CCCUCGCCAUCCUUGGCGAAGGCGUUGAUGUAGCGCCGCAUCUUCUGCACCAUCAGGUCGUUCCUGUCCUCCACCCUGCGGACGGGAGACCAGCACAGGAAGAGCUCCAAACGGUUCUACUGAUACGGAAAGCAGACGCAGCCAGGAGGCCUGUGGGGGUUCCUGACCUCAGGUACCACAACUGCUUCAGGCCGUAGUUCAGACCACACACGCCCAGCCGCGGCCACAGGCACCGGGGAAGCCUUCUCUCCAGCAUCAGAGUGGUGGCCACCACCUGCAAACACACACACACACACACACACACACACACACACACACACACACACACACACACACACACACACACACACACACACACACACACACACACACACACACACACACACACACACACACACACAGAUUACUGUCUGAGUUGAAAACCCAUGUGUGUGUGUUUUUGUACAAUCCCACCAGUGUUCCAAUUUACAAAAUAAAAAUGAAUUGAUGGAAAUUAUUUCAAUAAACUCACCCUCCCUUUAUGUGGUGCAUUUACAAGGA